rnacentral:sRNA from 1 species
AGAGGGACACCACCGGAGAGGUGGCAGAGUGGUUGAAUGUACCUGACUCGAAAUCAGGCAGGCGUUUAUAGCGCCUCGGGGGUUCGAAUCCCCCCCUCUCCGCCAGAUAUGCACAGCGCCCCGAAAGGGGCGUUUUGCGUAUCUGGCGGAGAGG